UUCCACAUGGUCCAACAGUUAGGAUUCCUGGCUUUCACUCAGGUGGCGUGGGUUUGACUCCUGGUGUGGGAA
rfam:Ovis aries breed Texel chromosome 12, whole genome shotgun sequence.